CACCGCGCCUUCUGCUCACAGCCCCCACGCUUACAGCAGCACCUGGGCAGGAGGAGGCCUCUGGAGUCUGUCUCGGGGCCAUAUCUGGUUCUGCCGCUCACUGUCUGCACGGCCGGCCAGUAUCACCGUGAGGUGCAGGGACAGCGGCACUGCCUCCCAGGCUCCAGGUCACCCGCCCGGCCAGUUUCACCGUGAUGUGCAGGGACAGCGGCACUGCCUCCCAGACUCCAGGUCGCCCGCCCGGCCAGUUUCACCGUGAGGUGCAGGGACAGCGGCACUGCCUCCCAGACUCCAGGUCGCCCGCCCGGCCAGUUUCACCGUGAGGUGCAGGGACAGCGGCACUGCCUCCCAGGCUCCAGGUCACCCGCCCGGCCAGUUUCACCGUGAGGUGCAGGGACAGCGGCACUGCCUCCCAGGCUCCAGGUCACCCGCCCGGCCAGUUUCACCGUGAUGUGCAGGGACAGCGGCACUGCCUCCCAGGCUCCAGGUCGCCCGCCCGGCCAGUUUCACCGUGAGGUGCAGGGACAGCGGCACUGCCUCCCAGGCUCCAGGUCGCCCGCUGGGUCUCUGCUGAAGUACGAGUCGUGAAUACACUGGAAGCUGGGAAGUCA